ensembl:lncRNA
GGAGGGAGAGGAGGAAAAGAGGAAGAUAAGAGGAGAAGUAGGAGUGUCCUAUUGUGUUUACUGUAAUCACCUGUCCUCCUCACUGUAUUGAAACAUUUUUGUCUCUGGUCUCCUGGCCGGGUACUUAGUCUCUUUAUGUGGUCUUUGUUCCUGUUGUCUUCGUUCUGUCUUUGUUCCAUGUCUUCAUUGCAGAAUCCUGCUCUCCUGUGUUCCCAGGCAUUUUGUAUAGACUUCAGAUAAAGGGUUAUUCCUCCUGUUCCAAGGAAGUUGAGACCGCCGGGAGGGCAAAGCAGAAGCAGAUAAUUUCAUCAUAUCAAAAACCAAUGUUAACAAUUAGCAAAGUAGAAUGUUUAGGAAGAUGUUCUCCUCCUUUUUUGUGAAGGUUUCCAGAUAAAUGGAGCGCUCGUUUGGUAGCUUGUGAGUUAGCUUAGCACGAAUGUCCGGAGGUCCCCGAAAGACGAUAUGUGUAACUGAUUGGAAAAUCGCAUUAAAUGCGAUCCACGUUGUCUGUAAUUAACACCUGUGGGACAUCGAGACGUGCAGAGAAUUCACAGGGACAGAAGUUAUUCUAUUCUACCAGAAACAACCCUUUACUGUCACAAUAAUCAAUAACAAAUAAAUAAUCAAUAAUCACAGGCAACAUCCAGGCUGCAUCAAAGGGUGGAUAACUUUAUUCUCUUUAUAAUAGAAACACAGUAGAAAAGACAGGAAAGAAGACAACAGAACAGAAGACUAUGUAGCAAGACUGCAGAUGAAGAACACUGAGGAAGACCACAAUACAAUGGAGGAAGAUUUACCUGAAUCUUCUCUGGACGACGUGCUUCAGUGCUCCAAUGGUGAAGAUAUGCAUUCGAUACAAGACCUUAACUUGUACAGACACCAGGAUCGUCAGAUUACCAAACUGGAUUUUCUCUCUCGUCGAGACCAGGAUCAAGCUCAAGUUCCACCUCCGGACCUGCUAGAGGGUCAGAGAGCAGACCAGAAUCCAGCAGGAUGUAGCAGGGCUUCAGUUGAGGAUUUGUCACAAACUCAGCAGAGCCAGGGCUGGAAUCAGGUCCAGGGCCAGAGCUUCACCUCAGAAAAUGGAAAGAGUCCAGAAUCAGGGAAACACCUUUGCCCACCUGGACCAGAUACAGGACUAGGACCCAAUACAGGAUCAGGAUCAGGUAAAAGACCAGUACCAGAUGCCGGGACCAGAAACUAAUACAGGACCAGGUCCAGUACCAUUGCCAGAAACAGUAGCAGAAUCCGGACAAGGACCUUCAUACAGCCAGCGAGGAGGCAGCGGGGGAGUCCAGUGGCGGGGUCCCGGCCUUCACGGAGGCGAAGGCGGAGGCGGGUGCAGAGACAGAUGGAGGAGUCCUGCUCCCUUUGUCUCGUCUCCUGUGUUAUUGUGCGUUGACCCCUGACCCCUGAAGCACCGCGUGCUGAAGUCAGAUGCAGAGACGAGACGGUGGACAAGAAGAGAAGAAGAGAAC